rnacentral:lncRNA from 1 species
UGCCUAAAUGUCCCAUAGUCAUAGUAGCCAUUGCACUAAAAUAUCUGAUAUUGGGAAUAGAUGUGCCAACACAAUAAGAAAUUUAAAAAGUCAAAUUUUUGGCACUUACAAAUUGGCUUGAUUAAAAUGGGAUCCCAGUGGCUGGGCACAGUAGCUCCCAGGAGUCAUGGUGGCUGCCUGCGCUAUAAUCUCAGCUACUUGGGAGACUGAGGCAGGAGAAUGGCUUGAACCCAAGAGGCAGAGGUUGCAGCGAGCUGAGAUCGUACCACUGCACUCCAGUCCGGGCAACAGAUGGAGACUCCCUCUCAAUAAAUAAAUAAAUAAAUAAAAAUAAUAAAAUGGGAUCCCACAGAUCCACAGUUAAAAUAGUUAAUAUAGCCUUAUGUAAGUUAAGACAGGGCUUUCAAGGAUUAAAACUUAAAAAAAAGAAAAAGACAAAUAGAAAAAUGAGUAGAAGGCUGGAUAUAUAAUUUAUAAAAAAUGAUGUCCAAAAGUGUUCAAUUUCCUCAAUAAUCAUGUAAAUGCAAAUCAAAAUCAAUGAGAUAUCACCACACAUCCUCCAGAAUAGCUAAAAUAAAAGAGACUGAUGGGGAUUUCCGGCAAGAUAUCCAAAUAGGAACAGCUCCGAUCUGCAGCUCCCAGCAAGAUUGAUGAAGAAGAUGGGUGUUUUCUGCAUUUCCACCUGAGGUACCUGGUUCAUCUCAUUGGGACUGGUUGAACAGUGGGGUCCCAUGCCCACAGAGCCCAGCAAGCUGAGAUCAAUUGGCUUGAAAUUCUCGCUGCUAGCACAGCAGUCUGAGAUCAACCUGGGACACUGGAGCUUGGAGAGGGGAGGGGCACCCACCAUUCUGUGGGCAGAGCAUCUCUGAACAAAAGGCAGCAGCCCCAGUUGGGGACUUAUAGAUAAAACCCCCAUCUCCCUGGGAAAAAGCACCUAGGGGAAGGGGCAGCUGUGGGCACAGCUUCAGCAGACUUAAAUGUCCCUGUCUGACAGCUCUGAAGAGAGAAGUGGUUCUCCCAUCACAGCGUUUGAGCUCUGAUAAUGGACAGACUGCCUCCUCAAGUGGGUCCCUGACCCUUGUGUAGCCUGACUGGGAGACACCUCCCAGUCAGGCUGCAGACACCUCAUACAGGAGAGCUCUGGCUGGCAUCUGGUGGGUGCCCCUCUGGGACAAAGCCUCCAGAUGAAGGAUCAGGAAGCAAUAUUUGCUGUUCUGCAGCCUCCCCUGGUGAUGCUCAGGCAAACAGGAUCUGGAGUGAACCUCUGGCAAACUCCAACAGACCUGCAGCUGAGAGGCCUGACUGUUAGAAGGAAAACUAACAAACAGAAAGGAAUAGCAUCAACAUCAACAAAAAGGACAUCCACACCAAAACUCCAUCCAUAGGUCACCAACAUCAAAGUCCAAAGGUGGAUGAUAAAACCACAAAGAUGGAGAGAAACCAGCGCAGAAAGGCUGAAAAUUCCAAAAAGCAGAAUGCCUCUCCUCCUUCAAAGGACCACAACUCCUCGCCAGCAAGGGAACAAAACUGGAGGGAGAAUGAGUUUGAAGAAUUGACAGAAGUAGGCUUCAGAAGGUUGGUAAUAACAGACUCAUACAAGCUAAAGGGGCGUGUUCUAACCCAUCGCAAGGAAGCUAAGAACCUUGAAAGGAGGUUAGACGAAUUGCUAACUAGAAUAAGCAAUGUAGAGAAGAAUAUAAAUGACCUGAUGGAGCUGAAAAACACAGCAUGAGAACUUCGUGAAGCAUACACAAGCUUCAGUAGCUGAAUCGA